rnacentral:sRNA from 12 species
UACACCGCUGACAGUUGAAAUACUGUUAUAUCCGCCUUUAUAGGUUUUGGUGAGUGGAAAUUAUUCCGGUCAGGAGCUGCAAGUAGUGAGCAAUGUUCGAAAGCGGCGAGGAGAUAGAA